UACGUAGGGUGCGAGCGUUGUCCGGAAUUAUUGGGCGUAAAGAGCUCGUAGGCGGUGUGUCACGUCGAUCGUGAAAACUUUCAGCUUAACUGGGAGCUUGCGGUCGAUACGGGCAUCACUGGAGUUCGGCAGGGGAGACUGGAAUUCAAGGUGUAGCGGUGAAAUGCGCAGAUAUCUUGAGGAACACCGAUGGCGAAGGCAGGUCACUGGGCCGCAACUGACGCUGAGGAGCGAAAGCAUGGGGAGCGAACAGG
rnacentral:rRNA from 1 species